rnacentral:rRNA from 1 species
AUGGCAAAUUAUCAAAGUCCAAAGAAACUGUGGCAAAAAAUCAAAUCCCCCGAAAAGAAAAGGGAAAGCGGCAGCGAGAGAAAAGAGCAAAAGCAACCAGACCGCCCGCGCCCCCGCAACCGCCUCCUCUCGUGCCGCCGCCGCCGCCUCGGCCGGCCCGUGCUCUACCGGCGCCCGUCGGCCUCGAUCCGGCCUCGGCACCUCGAGACUCGGCAGGAGGAGCUCGCCCUCGAGAGGAGCUCGAGCCGAGGACCGCGACCUCGAUCCGGACUCGGCAGGAGGAGGGAAGCAGUAGCCGCGCCAGCUGGCGGGCUGGCGCGCCUCCUCCUCCGCGACGCCGCUGAAGAUGACGAGGCCGUCGCCGCGUACGCCCUCAAGUGGCUCGGCUUCGCGCUAUAUCACCCCGUACUCAUCUCCACCAUCUCAGGACGGUUGGCUCAAUCGAUAUUGGCUACUUUGGUUCGGCUGAUCAUGACCACCAAGAUGAAGGCUAUUUGUAAUCUUGCAGUCUGGUGCAUUUCUGUUCAACAAUUGGAGGCUUCGGUGGUAGAGGAUGGAUUAACUCCCUUGCUCAAUGCUAUUGUUUAUGCCCUUGACAAUCCAUUUGGUUCUUUGUCUACAGCAUUUGAGGCUAUUCAGGUUAUCUUCCCACUUAAACGGCAUUCUGUUGCAUUACAUCUCUUUUGUUUGGUGAACUAA